rnacentral:lncRNA from 1 species
GCGAGAGCGCCCAGGGGGUGGGCGUCUUGCCCCGGGCGUCGAGAGUUUGGGGCCGUCCCGUACGCGGCGCGCCGCAACCCAGUCCCCGCGACCACAGCAGCCUGCUCCCCACCGCGCUUGCAGAGCCCGGACGCGCGUGAGUCGGGGGCCCGCAGAGGCCUCACCCUUGGAGGUCGCCGCUUGUCAGGCCUGACUGCUGUUGGCGCCCACCCCGCCGCCCCCGAGGGGCCGCUCGAGGCCGGACUGCUGCUUUGCCGUGGCAGGCCCCACCCGGGACGUGGCGCUGCGGGCCGGGGCGGUCCAGCUGCAAUCCCUACUCCCUGCCAAAGGAGAACCCAGUUACUGAACAUCGGAUGAGACCAUGGAUAGUAAAUUGGGAGUGAAGGUCCAUACCUGGGUCUCAGAAGCACAGUACAGUUACACCAGCCUCCUGAGUAUGACAGCAACAUUCCUUCAGGGAUUAAAGAAAAUGCUUCAGAAGAUUGGAACACUGCUCAGCCUUCCCAACCUUCUUUUACCACUGAUGUUUCUACCUUAGUGAUCUUCCUCCUUAUUUUAAUGCUUCUUUCUCUUUACAAUUAAAAGUUCAUAAAAUCUUUCAACAUUAUUUUUCACUACAAAAGUCUGAAGUUCUCUGUGAAAUGCCUACAUGUAAGAAUUAAGAUAGAUUUUAAAGACUGUCAGUCUCAAAAUUCCAUGCUCAUCAGUUAGUGCAUGAUAUUAAAUUAUGCUUUUUUCCUCCUUUUAAAUAUACCAACAUUAUAUUGCU